UCCUCCUGCAAUGGGAAGCAUCAAUAGUAUAUUAUAAUGUUUCCAUGGUUUGUACAUAUCCCUGCAGCACACAUGAAUAGUGUUAACCUCCUCUAGAAAAAAAGAUGUAGCCAUUAUAAGUAUUUCUUUUCCUGGGUGCUUCUUUAUUUGAAUGAAAAAUCCACUGCAGAGGGUCUUGAGAUUGUGACUUCAUUGUCAUUCUCUGUGCAGCUCUGCAUAACGUUAUGGGCCGGCAGCCAGCGACAGACAGUGUAUUUAACUGUAUUGCAGGACUAAUGCACUUGUCCAUUUAACUUCACCAACAGUGUGGAGGACAAAAAUAUUUAACGUACACUUCACAGAAGCUAAAGUGAUUUCUGUGUGCUUUUCACACAUUAAAGCAAAAACUGUUAAUUUGUGAAAAGGUAUGUGCACUCGCAAUUAUCAUAUUGUGGUUCAUUCAGUACAGUAUUGUUGGUAUGUCGUAUUAGCUGUCUAAACCUGCCUAUAUGUGUAUGUAAAAGUUUAAAUAUGUCUUGCAAAUGUCUCGCCUUGUGUUGCUGCAGUCGGUUGUCUUCUGUCUUGUCGUCCAUACGGCUGAGAGAGAUCCCAGUGCUGGAGAGAGAGGACACUGCACUGGACAAGGUGCUGGAUCUUAAGGUUUGGUUGACCAGCAUGCACACAUCAGCCUUGGAUCAUGCAAGCGAGUCCACAGCGGGACUGACAGGUCAGGGCAGAGCAGAGCAUCGUCACUGCAGGGCUCCAGAGUAGAAACA